rnacentral:sRNA from 1 species
GCCAGGCAUGGUGGUGCAUGCCUAUAAUCCCAGUGGCUUGGGAGGCUGAGGCAGGAGGAUCACAAGUUCAAAGCCAGCCUCAGCAAGAGUGAGGUGCUAAGCAACUCAGUGAGACCCUGUCUCUA